AUGGCUUGUCUCAUGAUUAUGCCAUGCAUGUCUAAGUAUAAAUAACUUUAUAUUGUGAAACUGCGAAUGGCUCAUUAAAUCAGUUAUGAUCUACGUGACAAAUUCUUUACUACUUGGAUAACCGUGGUAAUUCUAGAGCUAAUACAUGCAAAAAAGCCCUGACUUACGAAGGGGUGCACUUAUUAGAUAAAACCAACGCGGGGUAAAACCUGUUUCUUGGUGAAUCAUAAUAAUUAAGCGGAUCGCAUGGCCUUGUGCCGGCGACGGUCCACUCGAUUUUCUGCCCUAUCAUGGUUGAGAUUGUAAGAUAGAGGCUUACAAUGCCUACAACGGGUAACGGGGAAUUAGGGUUCGAUUCCGGAGAGGGAGCCUGAGAAACGGCUACCACAUCCAAGGAAGGCAGCAGGCGCGCAAAUUACCCAAUCCCGACACGGGGAGGUAGUGACAAUACAUAACAAUGCAGGGCCUUUAAGGUCUUGCAAUUGGAAUGAGUACAAUUUAAAUCCCUUAACGAGGAUCAAUUGGAGGGCAAGUCUGGUGCCAGCAGCCGCGGUAAUUCCAGCUCCAAUAGCGUAUAUUAAAGUUGUUGCAGUUAAAACGUCCGUAGUCAAACUUUAGUCUUACCGGCGUAGUGGCCUGGUCUUCAUUGACCAAGCUCAUUGCUGCCGGAGACUCCACGUCCAUUGACUCCUAGUCCUCGUGGCUAGGGUUUUCUGGACAAUUACCAUGAGCAAAUCAGAGUGUUUAAAGCAGGCUUUUAAGCUUGAAUGUGUUAGCAUGGAAUAAUGAAAUAUGACUUUAGUCCUAUUUUCGUUGGUUUAGGUACUUCAGUAAUGAUGAAUAGAAACGGUUAGGGGCAUUUGUAUUUGGUCGCUAGAGGUGAAAUUCUUGUAUUGACCGAAGACAAACUACUGCGAAAGCAUUUGACCCGGGACGUUUUCAUUGAUCAAGGUCUAAAGUUAAGGAUCGAAGACGAUUAGAUAUCCGUCGUAGUUCUUAACCACAAACUAUGCCGACUAGAGAUUGGGGCGUGUUUAUUAUGACU
rnacentral:rRNA from 1 species